rnacentral:rRNA from 1 species
UCCUACNGGGNAGCAGCAGUAGGGAAUCUUCCGCAAUGGACGAAAGUCUGACGGAGCAACGCCGCGUGAGUGAUGAAGGUUUUCGGAUCGUAAAGCUCUGUUGUUAGGGAAGAACAAGUGCAAGAGUAACUGCUUGCACCUUGACGGUACCUAACCAGAAAGCCACGGCUAACUACGUGCCAGCAGCCGCGGUAAUACGUAGGUGGCAAGCGUUGUCCGGAAUUAUUGGGCGUAAAGGGCUCGCAGGCGGUUUCUUAAGUCUGAUGUGAAAGCCCCCGGCUCAACCGGGGAGGGUCAUUGGAAACUGGGAAACUUGAGUGCAGAAGAGGAGAGUGGAAUUCCACGUGUAGCGGUGAAAUGCGUAGAGAUGUGGAGGAACACCAGUGGCGAAGGCGACUCUCUGGUCUGUAACUGACGCUGAGGAGCGAAAGCGUGGGGAGCGAACAGGAUUAGAUACCCUGGUAGUCCACGCCGUAAACGAUGAGUGCUAAGUGUUAGGGGGUUUCCGCCCCUUAGUGCUGCAGCUAACGCAUUAAGCACUCCGNCCUGGGGAGUACGGUCGCAAGA